GGACCCGCACAAGUAGUGGAGUAUGUGGUUUAAUUCGAUGCAACGCGAAGAACCUUACCAGGGUUUGACAUCCUGCGAAUCUCUUGGAAACGAGAGAGUGCCUUCGGGAACGCAGUGACAGGUGGUGCAUGGCUGUCGUCAGCUCGUGUCGUGAGAUGUUGGUUAAGUCCCGCAACGAGCGCAACCCACGUCUUUAGUUGCCAGCAUUUAGUUGGGCACUCUAGAGAGACUGCCGGUGAUAAACCGGAGGAAGGUGUGGAUGACGUCAAGUCAUCAUGCCCCUUACAUCCUGGGCUACACACGUGCUACAAUGGUAGUGACAAUGGGUUAAUCCCAAAAAGCUAUCU
rnacentral:rRNA from 1 species